UUGAGUUAUUAGUGAUAUUUCAUAAAUUCCAAGAGUUCUAAAGCCAGUGAAGCAUGAGUUCUGUUUAAAUUAACUGCACACACACUUAUUGUGUUCACAACCAAUUUCAAAUGUGCAAAGUGUAAACUCAAUCUUCUGCACAUAGAAAGAGCUUGUUCUACUGCCAAACUACACAUCAAACACUUUAGUUUGAGUGUAGAAUGUAUAAUCAACCUUUAGAACUGAUCUUUCACUGUCCGUGUACCCAACAGAUGACAUCACUUCCUCUUGUGCCUGUACUUCAUCAUAGCAGAAGCACUCACUUUAUUACAAAGAGCUGACACGAUGAACACUUUCCUUAUCAGAUCUGCAUGUCUGCUGUGGCUAACAGUGGCAAACCAUGCAAAAACUGUUCUCCAGAGACCUGAUGACCUCAUAAAGAACCAAAAUGAAUCGGCUGUUAUCGUCUGUUCUCACAGUAUACAGAACUACAACCGAAUGCUGUGGUACAAACAGAGUCAGGACAUGCCUGGACUCAAGUUGAUGGGAUACCUUUUUAGUGGUGAAAAUAUAGAGCCUGAAUUUACAGACAAGAUCAAAUUGAAGGGAGAUGCAUCAAAAAAUGGCACUCUGACUAUCAACAACCUCACACCACAAGACAGCGCAGUGUAUUUCUGUGCAGCAUGUUACACAGUGAUAUAGAUAAUGAAACCUUAAUACAAAAAGCUCUCUAGUCUGUGCCUCUGCAUCAGCUCUGCCUCACCUGCGAAGGGCUCAGGGUUUGAUUUGCUGCCAACAUUGAGGUGAAUUAUCUCGUUAAAUAACAUGUACACAAAUGUCUAAGAGUGUUUGAGGAAUCCCAUAUGAGAACAGAACAAUCCCUCCACAUUUUGACCUCAUAGUAAGCUAAAUUUAUACACAAGUUAUAUACUUAGCAUCCUAGAACAGCAGAGGGAGUUCUUUGGUAAUGCUAAAUCUGGACAGCAUUGAAAAAUAUACAUAAUUUAGCGAUUUUAAAAUGAAUGCACUUUUAAAGAAUUAAUAUACAUAAUACAUAUUGGCUUGGAUGAUAAAAAGAGAAAACCAUUACUCGUUAUUAUGAUUUUCUCUUUUUUGUGUUACUCACUAAUUUGUUGUCAGUGCCCCCAGAGAUGACAUCAUUUCCUACUAGAACUGCCUUCUUGCAUUUACUUCACAGCACUGUCACCAAAAGCAAAGAUGACUAGCAUUAUUACAAGUGUUUGUGUUUCUCUAGCAUGCCUCACAGGUAACCAUAUGUCAUAGACUUUUGUUUAUGUUUAUGAAUGUUUAUUAUAUGUAUUUGUUUUACACUGAUUGUCAUUGUAUAUGUGUAUUUUCUCUCAUUACAGUUGCAUUUGGUAAAACUGCUUUCCAGUCACCUGGUGACCUCAUUAAGAACCAGGAUGAAUCUGCUGUGAUCAUAUGCAUACACAAUAUACCAAACUAUGACCGUAUUCUUUGGUACAAAAAAGACAUCAUGGGCUUCAAGUUCAUGGGGUUUCUUAAUCUCAUAUAUGACAACCCUGAGUUGGAAUUUAUAAACAAGAUCAAACUUGAUGGAGUAAUGUGUGAGUAAUGAUUAAUUAAAGUAAUGUGUUUGUUACAUUAAUAAGAUAUAAAGAGCGCUGGUCACUUUAAGAGUUUGGAAUAAGCAAUGACGUUGACGCUAAUGUUUUCACGCAGUUCAGUGAUGUAAGUGCUCAGUUUAUGCAGUUCAGUAAAGCUGACGAGAACAAUAAAAAGUAAAAUAAGUUCAAGUACGAGUCCUCUUUACAGACAUUACACUCUGGUUGUAAAUUAUGGUAAAUUUCCUGCUGAAUUAUUUACUUAGGUCAAGGUCUACAUCAGCAUAAAUAUGUAUGUUUGAAACAUUUAUUCACUAGAAUAUCUGAGAUCAUUAUGAGUUUACUUGUUUUGUAUAUAAAGUGAUUCAAACAUUGAUUAACAAACGUGGAGACAAACUUUCUUCACAGCAUGGUGUGGCAGGAAAUUGCAGCAAUUUGUAGGAAGUACCAAGGGUCCAUAAUAGAAAUUGUUAAGUAGGGGAGGUCAGGUGUCAAUACUGAUAGAAUUAUAUCAAACCGAACCUUUUUUUUUUUUCACAAAGUAUUACUCUAGUCUAAAUCAACAUGUUCAGAGUUCUCCUAGUCUUGCUGCUUUGGCUUACAGGUAACUAUUUUAUAUUAAACGAUGAGAAUGAUUUAAUAACAUAGUUACUUAUUAAGUAUAAUGCACUUUUUUGUUUCUUUUUACAGGUUCUGUUGUUAACAGCAGUGUUAAUCAAAGCCCCUCAAAUCUAAUUAAAUCUGAGAGAGACAAUGCAGAACUUGUAUGCGAAUACAACAUACCAUCUUACACUAGGAUUUUCUGGUACAAACAAACACUUGGCCAUGACUUCAUAUUCCUUGGAUAUAUCUGGAAUAAGAAUUCUUACCCAGAGGAUAAUCUCAAUAAAAUAAAAAAUAAAAUAAAAACUCUUCCAC
rnacentral:lncRNA from 1 species